GUGUCAGCCGCCGCGGUAAUACGGAGGAUGCAAGCGUUAUCCGGAUUUAUUGGGUUUAAAGGGUGCGUAGGCGGGAUUAUAAGUCAGUGGUGAAAACCUGCAGCUUAACUGUAGACUUGCCAUUGAUACUGUAGUUCUUGAGUGUGGUCAAGGCAGGCGGAAUGUGUAAUGUAGCGGUGAAAUGCUUAGAUAUUACACAGAACACCGAUUGCGAAGGCAGCUUGCUGGGCCAAUACUGACGCUGAGGCACGAAAGCGUGGGGAUCAAACAGGAUUAGAUACCCUGGUAGUCCACGCCGUAAACGAUGAUCACUAGCUGUUGGCGAUAUACCGUUCAGCGGCAAAGCAAAAGCAUUAAGUGAUCCACCUGGGGAGUACGGCCGCAAGGCUGAAACUCAAAGGAAUUGACGG
rnacentral:rRNA from 1 species